rnacentral:snRNA from 1 species
GUACUUGCUUUGGCAGUACAUAUACUAAAACUGGAAAGAUACUGGGAAGAUUAGCAUGACCUUUGCAUGAGAAUGACAUAUAAAUUCAUAAAGUGUUCCAUAUUUUG